GAUGAAGAACGCAGUGAAAUGCGAUACUUGGUGUGAAUUGCAGAAUCCCGUGAACCAUCGAGUCUUUGAACGCAAGUUGCGCCCGAAGCCAUUAGGCCGAGGGCACGCCUGCCUGGGCGUCACACGUCGUUGCCCCCCCAUCUACUCCUUCGGGAUUGCGGGGGGCGGAUGAUGGCCUCCCGUGCGCCUCGUCGCGCGGUUGGCAUAAAUACCAAGUCCUCGGCGACGCACGCCACGACAAUCGGUGGUUGCGAAACCUCGGUUGCCCGUCGUGUGCGGUCGUCGCGCAUCGAGGGCUCGAAAAAAUUGCCGGGCUCCGGCUCGGCUUUCAACGCGACCCCAGGUCAGGCGGGGUUACCUGCUGAAUUUAAGCAUAUCAAUAAGCGGAGGA
rnacentral:misc_RNA from 1 species